rnacentral:rRNA from 1 species
AUUGAACGCUGGCGGAAUGCUUUACACAUGCAAGUCGAACGGCAGCACGGACUUCGGUCUGGUGGCGAGUGGCGAACGGGUGAGUAAUGUAUCGGAACGUGCCCAGUCGUGGGGGAUAACGUAGUGAAAAUUACGCUAAUACCGCAUACGAUCUAUGGAUGAAAGCGGGGGAUCGCAAGACCUCGCGCGAUUGGGGCGGCCGAUAUCAGAUUAGGUAGUUGGUGGGGUAAAGGCCCACCAAGCCAACGAUCUGUAGCUGGUCUGAGAGGACGACCAGCCAAACUGGAACUGAGACACGGUCCAGACUCCUACGGGAGGCAGCAGUGGGGAAUUUUGGACAAUGGGCGAAAGCCUGAUCCAGCCAUUCCGCGUGCAGGAUGAAGACCCUCGGGUUGUAAACUGCUUUUGUACAGAACGAAAAGGUUUCUACUAAUACUAGGAGCUCAUGACGGUACUGUAAGAAUAAGCACCGGCUAACUACGUGCCAGCCGCCGCCGUAA